UACUACUGACUGACCGAUAGUGAACCAGUACCGUGAGGGAAAGGCGAAAAGAACCCCUGUGAGGGGAGUGAAAUAGAACCUGAAACCGUGUACGUACAAGCAGUAGGAGCACCUUCGUGGUGUGACUGCGUACCUUUUGUAUAAUGGGUCAGCGACUUAUAUUCAGUGGCAAGGUUAACCAUCUAGGGGAGCCGUAGCGAAAGCGAGUGUUAACUGCGCGACUCAGUCGCUGGAUAUAGACCCGAAACCAGGUGAUCUAGCCAUGGGCAGGUUGAAGAUUGAGUAACAUCAAUUGGAGGACCGAACCGACUAAUGUUGAAAAAUUAGCGGAUGACUUGUGGUUAGGGGUGAAAGGCCAAUCAAACCUGGAGAUAGCUGGUUCUCCCCGAAAGCUAUUUAGGUAGCGCCUCGGACGAAUACUACUGGGGGUAGAGCACUGUUAAGGCUAGGGGG
rnacentral:rRNA from 1 species